CUACUAUGUAGAAUAUGUCUAUAUAUAGCAUGUUAAUUCCUAAAGUCGACCUGUAGGUACCCAGAAGAAUCUGAUUUGCAUCACACCGUAUCCCGUAAGAUUCACGACAUUGUGUGUAGCACACGACUGUUACACAUGAUCCCAGGCAUAAACGUUCAGUAAACGUUUGCGAUUAAUUCUCGGCACUGGAAAAAUUCCAUGAUUUAAGAGUCCUAUUCGCGACGUAUUAUUAGCUCAUCAGUAACGACUGAGCACAGACGCACGAUUGAACACCAACUAUCGACCAAUGGUACAACACGUCUACAGAAGCCCUAUUCUCAAAAUUAACAGUGAGUUGACGCAGCUGGUACUUUGUCAAUUUCGAUAACACUGGCUUCAGUCAUUACUGAGCUAUAAUUCAAUCUGCGAGUGUUCGUAAUGUCCGAUGAAAAUUGCAUCGCAAAAUGUGACAACCCCUUGAUCGAUUUACACAACUUCGUUGAAGUGUUACGGUUCCACAGGUGACAGUCUUCUGGCAUUCUUUAUUGCACGAGGUAAAAUAGCAGGCCUGCUUCUGCUUUUGCUGUACUGCGAUACUAGUGAAAUAUUGGCUUAUACAAGGACAUUGAAAAUAUAUACGGUCAUCAUUCACAUGGUUUCACGUGGAAGGCCGAUACAUUAGUUUCAAUAAAGAAAGGAAGUUUCUAUAGCGAGAAAAAAUUACUAGGGUGAUAUUGCGUGCCGCACGAUAAUGUGAGAAUCUUUUAUGAGGUUCGGAACACUGUAUCCAUGAACAGGAAGGGGAGGACAAGUUGGUAUUACUACUACUGGUGCUACUGUAUGAUACAAGAGAUAAAUGCGCCAGUCAGAUUGAAAAUAUGAGUAGCAGCAAUGGCAAUGGCAAACAUCAUAAAUAAUCGUUCCAGACAAUUACGAUGUGGAAAGUCUUCUGGUAGGACACUUGAAUGAAGUUAUGACACUGUUUACCUCUGUUGAAAGCAUCUAUGGGUAGCUUACAUGAAAAUUGAUGGUAAUGAGAAGAUGACGUGAAAAUGGGAGAUUAUGGCAUGAACGAGAACGAAUAUAAAAAACUUUCUCAUUCUGAUCUUCCCCUCUUUCCUAUUGUAACAGAUUUUCUUUCUCUCGGCUGCUACGUUUUAUGCAAAUUAUGACCAUUUUUUUUUCGCAAAGCGUUAAUCUCGAGCCAGGUGAACUUACUUAAAUCCACGAAGUUGCCACGUGCCGUCGUAGAAUGAGAGACGUCGACCUCAUUUGGUCCUCGUUCGCUGAAGGAUUAUUACGCCUGAAUUCAUUCGGGAAUGAAAUGGCAUCGAUCAAUCACCACUUCUUUUUUAUCAUCCACUUUUUCAUCCUAACCCUUGGUGACACAGUAAAACUCAACCUCUGCGAAUUUCGAGUCAGCAAGGGACGCAAUGGGAUGCUUAAUCGUAUCGAUUAGAUUUAUAAUUUCUAACCAACCCUUGAUCGAAUCAUUAUAGGAUCUUACUUCAACAUACUCAAAAAAGAUGUGCUCGACAGGCCUCUUCUAUUGUCUGUUGUCAAAUCAAUUAAUGUAAUCAUAUCAAUAUAUUCCUUAAUGUCAAAAAAUUAUAUUCGUCAAUGUAAUGCUCUUAUGACUUUUUAAAGAUUAAUCUGUGUUAUCCUAAUUAUCUCGAUUACUUAUAGAAUGAAGAAAAUGACUGGGAUGUUCUUCUUUCACGCUGAAAUAUCCACAUUCCCUGUAUCUAUUCAAUGGAUUGGAGGGGUUCAAGGUUGAAAGUUUCAGGGAUUUAGCAUUUCAAGGUAGAAAGGGGGCAGCAAUCGCUAUUACCUAAAAGAAAUUGCUGAUCAUCAGCGUUCUAGCCAAUUUCUGCUUCUGACGUCUAAACACAUAAAAUGACCCCAAUUUACCACUGAUUGACAGCCGAUACCUUUUAUUGGCAUACAUAUCGUGGCUAAACAAUAUGCUCUCAUCUUCGAUCUCCUGAUUUCUCAGUCGGCAAAUAAACCCACCCUUAUAUGGUUCUGCGCUAUAUGCGUAUAGAGCCAGUGGUGUUUUCUGUUUGCUAUGGGAAAAUAUUGGCUCAUUGUAAGCUCCCACUUCUCUUGACAAUCGAGCACUACCCUAUU